CGAGCAGAGACGGAGGGAGACCAAGGACCAGAUGCCUUUCAAGGGCAUAUCCUGGUGACCUUAUUCUCUGAACUAAGCCCCACCUCCUGAAGUGUCUAGCACCUCUCAAUACUGCCAUCAUCUAUGAGCCCAUUAGUGGAUUGAUCCACCAGUGAGAUCAGAGCCCUCAUGGUCCAAUCACUUCCUAAACCCACCUCUGAAUACUGCCACACUGGGAACCAGCCUUCAAAACACAAGUCUUUGGGAGACAUUUGAGAUCCAGACCACCACCCCGCUCCAUACUUUUGGCACAUAUAUAUCCAAGAACACUGAUAUUCUCCUACGUCACUAGCAUGGCCACAUCCCCAGGCCAAUCCACCACUGUAUCCAAUACAAUGCCCUUUAUGACACCUUUUAUCCUGCCAGGACCUUCCCCUGGACACAACAGUGCAUUUGGCUGUCUUCACACAAUGAUAUCAAGGGGAAGGAUCAUCUUUACUUUUUAUUUAAAAAAUUUUUUUAGUAAAGUGUAAAACCAGAGCCAAUGGCAUAAAGGUGACUUUUAUUCAAAGGCCAAGAAUCCACAAAUCCUUCCCCUUCAUCAGCAGGCAGAAUCUGUGACAAGGCACCUCCCUGGUUGACCUCCUCACGCGUCUGCCUCUAGGGCAAGUGGCCGCAGUGACCGGCUUUCGGGGUGUAGGCCACGGGGCCAAGGCUCCACGGCAUCCUGCACAGCCUGUUCCGCGUUUGGAUUACGAAAAGGCGGCACCUGGCUCUCUGCUCUUGAGCCUGCCUUUAGGGCUGCUUCUGUGUUGAAGGGCAGAUGUCUGGCCGGCUCCUUGAUCAGAGGUGUAACUACAAAUUUUGUUCUAACUCUGAAGAAAUGAAAACUUGCCAGCUAGGUUAAAGCUGUGAAUUCCCAGGUUCUGACUUGAUUUUUCUGUCCUUGCAUACUGAAUAGUAAUUCUUUGUCCCAGAGUGGUGUCGGUCACUCCCUUAACGUCCUUUCGUGACGUGCCUUCGGCUCUCUGAAGGCCUGUGUGGUGCAGAUAGAGUGAGAGGUGAGAAGGUGCUGGCUCCUGGCCACAAUCUGCAGGCCCUGAGCCAGGCGCAGCGUCCUGACCGGCUCUCAGGCAAUCUCCUGCGGCCCACCUCGGAUGUGAGCCGGGGACCACAAGCAAAGGUAAGGUCAUUUUAGCCUGCCUUUUGUGUUAAAAAACAACAACAGAAAAAAGAGGCAAAAGAAAAAGGAGACGUUUCAAAAAGCUUACUAAGUUCAUUACAUCUUUUACCAAGAGCAAAAUGUCCAGCAUGCUUUACAGGUAGGUAGGACACCCUUAAGGAACUACACGUGGCCUGGGUCACUCAUGUGAUUUUUCCAUGGGACACUGGGGGAGGUGUUGCCUGCCUGAGUGCAUUGAUAGUGAUGGUGUAAUGACAAUCUGGGACACUUGCCUUCAUCUGCAGAAGAGGAGACUUUAGUGCACGGUGGUGUCAGUGACACAGCAGAGCCAGGCUGUCUUAGAGGUUGCCCUGAGGUCACACCUGGAGGCUGUCACUUCAGAGGUCCCCAGCACAGGGGUCACCGUGGUUCUACCACUGAUGGCAGUACUGUCAUUCAUUGCCACCAGAGCUGUCUGUGGGCUGCAGCUGCUCUGGGUCAGCCUGGUGUUGUGCUUUUAGGUGUAGCCCUCCUGGACGCAGCUCAACACCUUCAGGAAACCAAAGGUGGACGUUCCCAUCUCCUUAGGGGCCUUGUUAAGGCUUGUUCCACAUCAGGAGCCAGUGCUCCAAAGUUUGUGCUGCUUCCAGAUCCAUCUUGGCCGCUGCUGGGCCCCUGCUGGUCCUCCUGCCCUUGGCCUCCAGACCUGUUGGCCUCUCAGGGGUCAGCUGUUCACGUGUUGCCAUGAAGGAGCUUGGGGUGGGUUCACUUCUCUUAGGGGGAACUCUUGCCCUGGGAAAAUGUGAACAAGAACUAAUGUGCUUUGCCCUAUCAAUUACCUCACUUUCUCUAGUUCACUGAUUUUCCUCCACGUUUUUUAUUGGUGCAUCUUAGCUGUACCUAAGGUGGUGGGAUUUGUUGUACAUAUUAGUACAUGCUCACGAUUUAACAAUAUGAUUUGGCCAACAUCACUCCCUAGUUCACCAAUUUUCUAUCAACAGAUUAAAAAAAAAAAAGAAAACUGAGGCCAAAGAGCUUUUGUUGUCUGAGGUCACAGAGUUGAUCAUCUCUGUAGCCCAGGUGUGAGCCCCCAGGAUUCAGAGACUCCUCCUGUGAGACCUUGGGGCCCACUGGAAGUUAGCCCCAGGCUAACUUCAAGGAACACUUCUUGCCUCGGUCUCACACAGCCUCUAAGCAAUGUCCACAGUUGGAAUGGUGCCACGGCAGCCAGGCAGCAACCCCCGGAGUGCACACAGAGAACUUGUGCCGUGGGCUGGCUCCUGGGCCCCUCUCACCUUCUUUAUGACCCUGGACCAAAGGCUUCCAGAUCAAUGGGCUGGGGGCACCUCAGCCCAUCCUAGCAGAAGUAGGGUGUGUGAUGUCCCCCAGGCCCUGGCCUCUCCUUCAGGGGGAGUGCCACGUGAGCACAGCUUGGGUGUUGUGUUCUGAAGGAUGCAGGUGCAGAGUGUCUGCUGCUGUCCCCGUCCCCGAGGCUUCCUUGCCCCCUGUGGUCAAUUUCCUCUUCCCUUCUGGGAUUUCUCCCAUUUUCAGGGUCCAUUCUGCUGCCCCCCAAAACCUCAGUUUGUGCGGUGCCAGCCUUCCUGAUGCUCCAAACCCAGCUGUUGCUGCAGCGGCUUCAGGCCUGCUUGAAUGCUCCUGCAGUCAGGCAGCUCACCACUGCGUUCAGCUAAGAAUCUUCCCCUCGGAGGACUGACUUAGGCCAUCGUCCCCCAGAAAGAUACUGCAUUCCCAAGAGGAUACAGUGGAUGACCAAAGGCCACCCAUAAAAUUAACCAAGGGAGAGACUGAAUCAGGGUGUAUCUUGCAUCCCGAGGUUUCAGUUCUGGAAGGCUCCACAGAGCUCGCUAGGACCCUCCCUUGGUAGGGUGGAGGUCACCAUGACUGCAGUCUUGGGGCUGGCACGAGCAGAGCUGACCGGGCCAGCUGCCUUCCUCCUGCAUGCCAUGAUGAACCCAGGGAAGAGGGGCCGCAGGAAGACUCUCAUCUGGGAGGCUGGACAGAAUUUCAGACAGCCCGAGCUCACCUUCUUGCACCCCCAGGUUGCCCAACAGUGGCCUCAGAAUAGUCUGGGUGAUCUUGAGGGCGAGUUGCUUGAUGCGUUUGUACGGGUUCUAGCAUCCAGAGGUGUGGUCUUCCAUGAACCAGAUCUCGCUCUUGGCACGAGCAUUGCUGCUCAUGGUCCUGGGGGCUCCUUCUGGUCUCCUGGCUGCCAGUGGCCUUGGGUCCUUGGUGUGCAGUUGCCCACUCUCUGCCUGCUCCCUGGGCCCUUUCCACUCUCUUAUCAGGACACUCACUGGGGGCAGGGCCCACCACAGUCCAGAGUCACCGUCCUUACCAUAAUCAUCUCUGUGAAGCCACUUUCCCCACUUUGGAUCUUACCAUAAUCCCUCUUUCCAAAUAAGACCACAUCCUGUGAUUCUGGGUGGACAUGAAUGUGCAGGGGACACUCGUCCAACCCACUGCCGCCCUCGACUGCCUGUACUCUUCCUUCUCUCUUCCCCCUAGUCUGUUGGUCUUUUCUGUUGAGUGAGUCCAGCAGGCUACCUGCCAGUCUCAGCUCGGGCAUGUGACCCCUUCCUUUGGGGAUGGAAAAGCAUUCUCUUUGGCCUCGCCAGUCAGCCAGGCAUUCCAAGCUGGUCUUUCCAUUUGGGGCUUCUCAUCAGUUGGUCUAUUGUUUAUACAAAUCCCAAACCGUGGAACGCUCUUGGUAAACACUCUCCCACUUACUCUGAAAAUGCUGGCCCUGGGGCCUGAGAACCCCCCUUCCCCAGGAGAGCCGGGCUGGGCUUUCUUCACAGAUUUCGGGGCUUUUGGAAAGGGCGUGUUUUUCCUAACUCACUUCAAAUGCCUUUCUUAACAAAACCUCGGAACCUUUGGAAAAUGGAAAAGCAGUAGCUCAUCUGGAAGGAAAUUCCAAGUUUAAGAACCUGCAACCAAAUCCUUGGCAUCCGCGGCUGUCCUUGGCGGGCAUCUCUGGCCGCCGGGUGCGUCUCCAGCCGAGACUUCUUCAUCUUGUUCCGUUGGUGGUCUAUGUUUAAAUUCCUGCUCAGAAUUUUUCCAGUGGGCCUUCUUCUCCUCCAGAAAAAGUCCAUGUGUGGUGCCAGCCCUGCGUCCGGUCCUGGUUCUCUGACGUCUGACCGUUCCGCGUGGCUGGAAACUCAGAGCAGGCGGUGGAGGGGAAGGCGGGCAGUGGCAGAGGCCGGGUUUGAGUGAGUCAUUGCCAGUCUUCAUGGCGUAACGGGGACUCAUUCCAGGUUAGCGGUUUGUAAAGUGGUCAGCUCCAAGGGGAAUAGCCACCCCCGAGGAAUUUUAAAUAUAUAACAUGACAUCAAAGACCAAAGGUGCCCCAGGUUUCUCAGCAGGGACCAGCAGGCUCACACUCGGAUGCCCUCAGAAAGCAGGUGAAGAGACCUGCUAAGAGCCACUUUCCCCACUUGGGAUCUCCAUUGGAUGGACACGAAGACUGUGUGAGCUGUCACUGCCUGUCACUCUGGCCACACUUGUCCUGGGUGGCCCCGCUGUGGUUCAGCUGAGAACUCUGCUUCCUGAGGAUGAGGAGAGUGGGAGAAGCUGUCUGGGAGACACUUUUAUGUGUUCCUGUCUCUGGGGAUCCCCUAAUGUGCCUGUGAACUGACCCCAACUAUUUAUGCAACAUUUUUUGAGCACCUGGUGCAUACCAGGAGAUGAUCUUGGGUCAUGAUUCCCUUUCCUGUGUUGUCCCAUCCGUCAGGGCAAGGUUGUUGUAAAGGACAAAGGACAAAGGGGACAAAGGGGACAAGGACGUGAGGAGGUGAGGAGCCACGUGCCUUGGGUGUGGGGAAGGAGCACCCUGUGGCGAAGACAGGUGGGCAGUGGGGAGGAGUCAGUGUUGGAACUGGGUUGAUUGGAUCAGCACUUGUCCCCUGUUGGUCUGACCCUGACUGACAGCCUGAAGUCCUCCGUGAGUGUUAGCCUCAGGUCGGGCCCUAAUGUGAAGCCUGAACUUGGCCUCUGACCUCAGCUGGCCGUGGACCUGGACCAGUCCCUGUGGCUCAGCUCUGCCUCAGCUCUGGCUCUGUGAAUCUGCCCCUUACCCAAAGAUCCCUGGAUGACCCUUGCCACUCAGCCUUCCAGGCUCGGGGUUCCUGCCCCACCACCCUGGAGGACCUCCCCGAGGCCAGCUCCUAACCCAGCCCUGCUUUCCCUCCAUGCAUCUGUGCUCUGAGAUCCACACUGUCACCCACUCACCACCGCUGGGCCACUGUGAGCACCAACCUAGCUCAGGCCUAGUGUCCCCUGCUGUAGUCCCUGUGGAAACAGCUCCUGCAGUGCUAGCCCGCUCUGCUCUGGGUCCAGCGUGGCUCACCCUCGACCCCUCCUGCCUGUCUUCCUGAAAGUUAGCUAAUGGCAAGGCGUCUUUGGCUGAGGCCUCACACUUGGCUGGUGACUGGCAUUGCACAUGUCAUAAGGUAAGCACGAUCACAGGAGGGAGAAAGAAGCUGCUCCUCUGGGGAGCAGGGAUGACACCAGGGUCCAUGAAUGAUGGCUCCCAGUGCCAGCUGCCAGUAAGCCUCAUGGUGACUUGUUGCAGACUAGGACUCAGGCUAAGACCUUCCAAGGCCACUCAGAACGUGAGAGGUGGUCAGGUUAGACCUGCAUCCAUGGGGUUGGCUGGUCCUGCUCUGUCCACACACCGUGGCCCUGCUGUGCUUCUCAGAGCUGGGUGAUCACUUGUCCACCUGCUGCUGAAGUCAUCAGGUCCUGGAGGAGCUGCCCUUCCUCUGAAGCUACCGUCUCAGGUGCAGAGGUUGGGGACCUUGGAGGGCUUCCCCGGGCAGCGUCCCUUGUCACAGCUUCUGGGCAAGGCAGUCCAGGGCUUAACAGUCCUCGCUAUCUGACCUGAAUUCCUCCUGCUGUAAUUUAAGUCAACCUUCUCUGACUCGGCCCCGAGUGACACCGAGGCCUCGGUCCUUUGUCACUGCCCCCCACUCCCUGCCCCUAAAUGCAGCACCUGUGCACAGGCACUGGAGGUGACUGAGGCCUGCUAUUGCUGGUACUCUGCCUCAAUGUCCACUUCAAGAACGGUGCAGCUCUCAGAUGCCACAUGGUCCUGGGGACCUGGUGGGAGGUGGGGGAGGGCCGGUCUGGCUUGGUAGUCGGCAGCUGCAUGAGAGCCUUGUGGUCCGGGCUCCAGCUCCAUUUGUUACUGUGUGGACCAGGCUCCCAGCCCCAGGGCCUUUGAGGCUGUCUCUCAGGAAGGCUCUGCUGACCCCGUUCCUGGAGGUCCCAGCUUUUGUGCCAUGGGCUCUUGGGCACGUUGGUUUGGAAUUAUGUUCAUUGUCAGUCUUUCCCCUGGGACAGCCAUAGCAAAGUUCCAGAAACUGGGACCCAAAUAACAGGGAGUUAUUCUCUCACAGUUCUGGAGGCUGUUUUCAGGGCUCUGCUCCCUCUAAAGGUGCGAGGGGAUCCUUUUGCCCCCAGCUCCUCUGGUUGCUGGCCAUUCUGCACCCCUUGGCUCUCAGGGCCCUGCUCCAGGCUCCUCCGGUUGUCACACAGCCUUCUGUCUGGGUGCUGUGUCCCUACUUCCCUCUUCUAUAGGAACCCAAGCCACACUGCCAGAGGGCCACCCUACUCCAGUGUGGCCUCAUCAUAACUUGAUCACAUCUGAAGAGACCCUGAUCUCAAGGAAGGCCACGUUCACAGGUAUGGAGGUCAGGUCACACACAUAUCUUUGGGGAGCCACAGUUUGAUCACCAAAGGCUUCCGGGGACUUAGUGAGCCCGCCCACGGCCGACUGCCCAGGAGUGCCCAAGGAAGGCGGGCUGAAUGCUGAGGAAGGCGUGAGCCCCGGGGCAGAGCGCUGACCCCCCCACAGGUGGCAAAUGAGCUCCUCAUCCAAGAGAAGUCCCACAGGUGCCGCCAUCGCCCCUUUUCUGGUAUAUUCGAUCUUCCAAUGUGGGUGUUCUGCAUCAUGGUCUCCCCACCACCACCCUUCCUCCUGCUCUCGCUUCCUGUUUUCUGCCUCUCCUCUGAGCUGUUCCAGAAGUUGAAACUGCCCGGGCUGAGCCCGACUUGAGAAGGUGUGCUUUCUUCUUCGAGUGAGAAUCAGCGACGGAGCAGUCUCCUCGCUCCAUCCCACACGCCCUGCAGCUUGCACAGGGCGCAGCCCCUGACCACUGCGGGGGCGGGCGGUGCCACGGCGCCUUCUCCUGCCGGGCCCCCUUCUCUGUGGGCAGGACCAACCCUCCCCAGCUGCACCUCCAAGGCGGCUCUGGGCUCGUCGCAGCAAAUCCACAGGAUUGGUGUCACUUUAACCACAUCAACUUAGGCUCCCUGCACGGCUGUUUUGCAGGACCAGUUGCCUCUGCCCACGUGGGGCCUUGGCAUGCAGUGGGCAGAUGGGGCAGAUCUGGCUCUGGAUUACCCCCAGAGCUGGGCUUCUGGCAUUUUCUCUGGCCUGCUGAGGCUGCUGACCCAAACUCUGGGACCACACAACAGGGAUAAAGGCUUUCUGACUCAACUAAUGUUCCCCAAACCACUCACUGUUGACGUUACAAGAGGCAGACUGUGAGAGACUGUCCAGAUGGAAGUGGGGAAGGUCUCGCAAACAAGGGGGCAGGGCCGUGUUCAGCACCGCAGGGACCCUGAGCCAGAGUGGCCGGGACGGUGCUCCAAGCCCCAUACACACCUGUCCUCACAGGCCAGAGGAGGGCAGACACCCUGGAUCAAAGGGAGGACCUCACAGUGUGGCUGGCAGAGAGAGGAGAGCUGGGCAGUCAGAGACUCCAGGGAUCAACUCUCUGAUAGCCCGUGGAGAUCUCUGCUGGGACAGCCUGCCACGCACACCACAGCCCCAGCAACCCCAGGCCCAAGGCCACGGCCAGGUUAUUUCAGAUCAACACGGGUCCCAAUACACCUGUCAGCCCACAAGUCCCACAUGCACUGAGCAUCUCCCAUUGUUCACCCCAAGUGAACUGUCCUGGACUGGGGGCUGGCCCCAUGUGGAAGAGGGGAGGCAGGGCUGAGCAAGAGGUCAUGGUGGGAAGACGCCAUCCCAGGGUACCAGGACUGAGAGGAGGCCACGCCUCUGACCAACAGGGAAGCGUCCUGGGGCCCCAUAACAAAGCACCACAGAGGCUUCAACAACAGAGCUCUGUUCUCUCGCAGGCCUGAGACCAAGGUGUGGGCAGCGCUGGUCCCCCUGGAGGCGCCAAGUGCAUUUGUCCCUUGUGUCCCCUGCCUUCUGGAGUUGCCGACCUUCCCUGCCUUUCAUGGACUGCGGACGCACCUCCACUCCCUGCCUCCUGUCCCUUGUGCAUCUCGUCUCCCUCUGCUUUCUCCUAGGAAGACAUCCGUCAUUGGAUUUAGGGUCCACCUUAAUCUGGGAUGGCUCACAAAGACCCUGUUUCUAAAUAAACUCGUGUUCACAGGUGCCAGGA